UCCUUGUGGUUAUCAAAAGUAUGAAGUUAGGUUCAAUGAUGCAGCAUAUGGAGUGGAUCUAAUUGCAAAGACUUGUGCAUGCAUAAUAUGGCAACUUACAGGGAUACCAUGCUUACAUGGAGUAGCUGCAAUCUCUUCCCUGAAUCAAGAUGUAGAAACAUAUGUGUCCCAAUCAUACAGUAAAGAGGCUUAUCUAAAAUGCUAUAAUUAUAACAUUAACCCUCUUAAUGGUAGUGAUAUGUGGCCAGAAGUUCCUUAUUGAAAGCCUUUGCCUCCCAAAAGAAGAAGAUUACCUGGUAGGCUAUCAGUGAAAAGGAAGAGGGAUGCAAUGGAAAGGGAGUUGAGUGGACCAGUUAGACAUUCUGUGACAAGAAGGGGAUCCCUGAUAAAGUGUAGUAUUUGCAAGGAACCAGGUCAUAACAAGAAAAAGUGUUCAUCUAAGCAGCAAACAAAUACAUCAGCACCAAGUUCAUCCAGGGGUAGUGGAGCAGGACCAAGUCAACCACCAGCAGCAGCCCAACCACCUCCACCACCACCACAGUAGCAGCCCAACCACCUCCACCACCACCAGUAGCAGCCCAACCACUUCCACCACCAUCACCACCACCAGCAAGGCCUGUACCAAGAAGGGCCCCAAUUGGUAGAACUGGACGGAGGAAAUAUUCUGAAAGGAUUGUCAAAAUGGCAUUGAGGAGGAACAUACCUGAGGUUGGGAGCAGUGCAGAGAACCCUGCAGUCCUUAAUUAAGUUGGUGUGUAGGUAGUGGGUGGGCACAUAUUUUGUUAUCAAGUUGUGAUGUAAAGACAAUACUAUGUUUUAUUUAUGCUUUUCUUUUGGGUUUGUGGGCACAUGGUGGCCCUUCUUUUGUGGUCCCUGGAAGGAAUCUUUUGUACUAUCUUUUGUGUAUGCAGACAACUACUCACCCUUUAUUUAAUUUAGAAUAUUGAUGGAGUA